rnacentral:misc_RNA from 1 species
GAUGAAGAACGUAGCGAAAUGCGAUAAGUAAUGUGAAUUGCAGAAUUCAGUGAAUCAUCGAAUCUUUGAACGCAUCUUGCGCUCCUUGGUAUUCCGAGGAGCAUGCCUGUUUGAGUGUCAUCAAGUUCUCAAACUGCAUCCAUUUGAAGGGUGUGGAUUUGGAUUAUGGAGUUUGCAGGCUCUUUGAUUGAGGUCUGCUCCUCUGAAAUGUAUUAGUGGCGAUGUGGAAAAGCUACUGUGGGUGUGAUAAAUAUCUAUGCCUUAUGCAGUGUUCUGCUAUACCGCUUGCAGGGAGAAAUUUCAUUUUUGACAAACUUGACCUCAAAUCAGGUAGGACUACCCGCUGAACUUAAGCAUAUCAAUAAGCGGAGGA